CCAACUAUCGCUGGGGUGGGACUGGAACACCACCACGAGUAUGUCGUCAGUCCUAGGAGGGACAACAUACGCGUGGGCAUGACCACCGUGUUAAGGACAGGAUUAAGGCCCUACAUUCUUCUGCCGCGCCCAACGUAGGCCACACCCACACCUCACUACAGUCUCCGGUCUUUGGCGUGGUACACUCCUAUGGGACGGCCGUUAAGGACCUCCAAAGCAUACGCGUUCUCUUCUAAUGGCUUCACUACCCGGCAUCGGAUGAACUUUGCAUUAAAGCACUUGCCAAAGUCACUAAGGACGAAAUUUUUGCGGAAUACCUCUUGUCCCGGCGUCGCGUAGAACACCCGAGCUCGCUUGUUAAGACUUACUCUUCUACGUCCCUGAUGUAGACUCGCGCGAAUCCUCUCCUGGAUGAGUGGCCGCUUGUCCUCUCUCUCCAGCAGCGAUAUGUCAUGCUCGCCGAUUGAACGCAGUCGCUUCGCCAGCUUGUAGCAUGACUAAUGGCCAGUUCUAUCUCCGGCAUAUGCGCAUCCAGUCCCGGUGGUCGUCUUCCAGAUACGCCCGAAUCGCGUUCUUUGAUCUCGGAUAUUUGCACAAAAAAUCAAUAUACAGUUUUUGGAACGGGCGCUCGGUGACCACCUCUUUCCCCAUCCCGACCUGCAUCCGAUUAUUCUAUGCUUUCGACUCCUUGCACACGGUACACCGUCGGUUGUAAUCCCGCUUUGUCUAUCAACUCGGAACCCACAGUUUCCAGACGAGUCCUCCCAGUUGAUCGUCGAAUCGCUCAAAGCGUAUGCGCUUGAAUAUCAUGCCAUCAACAAUCUGCAGGUCUGGUGGCAAUUUAGUUUGGCAGAGAAAAAUGCGAUAGGCCUCUCGCUCUGCUUGUCAUCCCGUUGAAAGAGUACGGCUACCCCAUAAUGUGAGGCGUCUCACUGGCGUCUGUAAGUGGAAGGGCUAUCUCAGCAUAGUUCUUCAUAAAGCGCCGAUACCAGCCCGCAGUUCCCAGGAAGUUAUGAAAUUCUCGGACAAAUCGCGGCUCGGGAAUGCGUAAAUGGCCGACACACGAUCCGGAUCCAUCUUCGCCGGAUAUUAACAAAAGUGAGAUUUACUCAGCCCUAUCGUUAGGUUCGCUUCUCGUAGGCGCUCGGCAACCUGUCGCAGAAUCUUCACGUGCGUUUCGAAGUCCUCGGCUAUAAUCAACAAGUCGUCUAGAUACGCAUAGACGUUUGAACGCAUCUCUACCGGAAUGACCUUGUCGACCAGUCCACAUAGGCGUUGUGCAGCGUUGCAGAGGCCAAAGGGCAUCAUACGAAACUGGUAAAAAGGCCGUCCCGGCACCAUGAAUGCCGUAUAUGCUCGACUCUGCUCGUCUAGCUCGAUUUGCCAAAAAGCGAAUUUUAAAUCGACGCUGGAGAUGUAUAUCGUCUGAUCGAGACAAAAUCCCCUCGAUUUUAGGCACCCACUGCCUUGAUGCGUCCUUGAUGGUUACUUUGUUGAGCUUUCGGGCAUCGAGACAAAAAAGAUUUUUGCCCGGCCUUCGCACCACUGUACUUGAUGACUUGUUGAUGACCAACAUUUUUUACACCUCCCCACACUCCACUUCUUGCAUCGCUGGUGACAGCGGGUAAUGUCGAUCCUUUACAGGUUCAGCCUUCUCCACUAACUGAAUUUUAUGAGUCUCUCUCGACGUCCUCUCCAGGCCUACAGCUUUGAAAGUCAGAAACUCUGCUCUUCCGACAACUCCAAUUCUUUCUGCACUAUCUCCUUCUCUGGGCCUUCCACAUAGUGAGCGACUUGAUCAGCCAGCACUUCUUCCACUAAUCUGUGAGAUGCCCCUACUAGACCUUCUCUCAUCACCUCAGGAGCCAAUGAGAAUACCGCCAAAAAUCUACCCCCAAGGAAGUUUCCUGUUCCAAGAAAGGGCAUAACAAAAACGUUAAUCUUUUUACCCCUCCCUCUACAACAAGCUUCUCCAGGAAUACCUGACCAUUUCGCCCUAGCAUGCUGUGUGUAGCGCCUGAAUCCAAAAGGCUUCUUAUGAACUCUCCCAUUAUAGAGAUGCCAAACACCACCGCCAUGAUCGCGAAUGUACUGCCAGUACCAUUCCCGCGCGUUUUCUGUAACCAGGUGAUAGAAUCCCUUGAGAACCUCAUCCCACGGGCAGCGACAUUGGGAUUGUAGGAAUUCAAUUCGGAACAAAAAAUCCUCGACCGUCAUUUUGUUGCUGUCCCCGUCGAACGUCACAUCCCAUUUUUCGUAUCGGCCCACCGCGGCCAAGGUCUAUAACCCGGCGGGUUUAAAUGCGGAUCUUCUCGACGAAUUUCACCAGCUCUCCUUCUCUCGCCACGACCCUGACCUGAGUGUCUACGUGCUAUCGGGUUUCGCCAAUCUCGCGCUUGAUUCUCAGCCCGUUUAUGCUGCCUACUGGAUGCGGUCGCCCCUACUCCUGAUGACGGUUCCGGACCAAUACCACCUCACCCCAAGCGAGCGAAAAAUGGCCCAUCUUCCUGGCCUGGACAGCUCCAAGUUCCUCCCGAUCUUGAUCGAAUAUCGCCCCGGACGCUUCUCCUAUCGGGUCCACUGUUUCGUUUACGCGUGAUCGCGUAUGAUACGGUCGACUACCCCCUUCUUGUGGCAUCUGCACCGAGCAACACCAAUACUACAA